UUCUAUCCUGCUGGAAAAAGUACACAUUUUAUUUGUUGCCUUGUAAUUCUCGCUAUACAUAAUUGCAACUUUUCUUUCAGGCAAACAAGGCAAGUGUUUAAUAUGUAAUGCUACAUGCCAAAUAUCACCUCUCUCUGACAAAAGCAGCUCAGAGGUGAAAGCUUUGUUUUCAGACAUCAACGUUGUGGCAACCAAACACUUAACGGAAAUCAACAAAGUUAUAAUGUUCCAGGC